CCUGUUCCUAGAGGCAUUGCAGGUGUGGCAGCUGUGUCACAUAUGUGUCAGUAGGUGGCAGAGGGAAGAGAGGACAGGAUAUGUCUGUGUUUGGUGUUCUAACCUGUGAAUACUGAAUGAUUAGCAGACUAACACU